rfam:Balearica pavonina gibbericeps contig25911, whole genome shotgun sequence.
GUUAAAAGCUAGGGCUAGGACUUGGAGGAUGUGUAGGCAAACGGAAGGAGAGCCGGGGGAAGAAAAACCGAAAUGGAUUCAUUCUCUGUCCUGGAUGGAGGAGGAGAGGAGAAGAGAAGGGGACGUGCGAGCUUCCUUCAACUGCCUCUGUCCGGUGAAAAGUGCUCA